rnacentral:rRNA from 1 species
CAGCCGCCACGGUAACACGGAGGGUGCAAGCGUUAAUCGGAAUUACUGGGCGUAAAGCGCACGCAGGCGGUCUGACAAGUCAGAUGUGAAAUCCCCGGGCUUAACCUGGGAACUGCAUUUGAAACUGUCAGGCUGGAGUCUUGUAGAGGGGGGUAGAAUUCCAGGUGUAGCGGUGAAAUGCGUAGAGAUCUGGAGGAAUACCGGUGGCGAAGGCGGCCCCCUGGACAAAGACUGACGCUCAGGUGCGAAAGCGUGGGGAGCAAACAGGAUUAGAUACCCCAGUAGUCCCUGUCUCUUAUAC